rnacentral:rRNA from 1 species
UACGAAGGGGGCAAGCGUUGCUCGGAAUUACUGGGCGUAAAGCGCACGUAGGCGGAUUGCUAAGUCAGGGGUGAAAUCCUGGAGCUCAACUCCAGAACUGCCUUUGAUACUGGCGACCUUGAGUCCGGGAGAGGUGAGUGGAACUGCGAGUGUAGAGGUGAAAUUCGUAGAUAUUCGCAAGAACACCAGUGGCGAAGGCGGCUCACUGGCCCGGUACUGACGCUGAGGUGCGAAAGCGUGGGGAGCAAACAGG